rnacentral:rRNA from 1 species
GACGAACGCUGGCGGCGUGCUUAACACAUGCAAGUCGAACGGAAAGGCCCUGCUUUUGUGGGGUGCUCGAGUGGCGAACGGGUGAGUAACACGUGAGUAACCUGCCCUUGACUUUGGGAUAACUUCAGGAAACUGGGGCUAAUACCGGAUAGGAGCUCCUGCUGCAUGGUGGGUGUUGGAAAGUUUCGGCGGUUGGGGAUGGACUCGCGGCUUAUCAGCUUGUUGGUGGGGUAGUGGCUUACCAAGGCUUUGACGGGUAGCCGGCCUGAGAGGGUGACCGGCCACAUUGGGACUGAGAUACGGCCAAGACUCCUACGGGAGGCAUCAGUGGGGAAUAUUGCACAAAGGGCGGAAGCCGUAUGCAGCAACGCCGCGUGCGGGAUGACGGCCUUCGGGUUGUAAACCGCUUUCGCCUGUGACGAAGCGUGAGUGACGGUAAUGGGUAAAGAAGCACCGGCUAACUACGUG